rnacentral:rRNA from 1 species
UACGUAGGUGGCAAGCGUUGUCCGGAUUUACUGGGUGUAAAGGGCGUGCAGCCGGGCUGACAAGUCAGAUGUGAAAUCCCGCGGCUCAACCGCGGAACUGCAUUUGAAACUGUCAGUCUUGAGUACCGGAGAGGUCAUCGGAAUUCCUUGUGUAGCGGUGAAAUGCGUAGAUAUAAGGAAGAACACCAGUGGCGAAGGCGGAUUACUGGACGAUAACUGACGCUGAGGCGCGAAAGCGUGGGGAGCAAACAGG